ACGGGGUGCAGCAGGCGCGAAAACUCCGCAAUGUGCGAAAGCAUGACGGGGGAAUCCCAAGUGCCGUUGGUCUUUUUGAUCGGCGGCUUUUCGGGAGUGCAAAAAGCUCUCGGAAUAAGGGCUGGGCAAGUCUGGUGCCAGCCGCCGCGGUAAUACCAGCAGCCCAAGUGGUGGCCGCGAUUAUUGGGCCUAAAGCGCUCGUAGCCGGGCUAGCAAGUCCUUUGUGAAAUCGGACGGCUUAACCGUUCGGCAUGCAAGGGAUACUGCUGGUCUUGAGGCCGGGAGACGUCUGAGGUACUCCGGGGGUAGCGGUGAAAUGCUCUAAUCCUUGGGGGACCACCAGUGGCGAAGGCGUCAGACGAGAACGGACCUGACGGUGAGGGGCGAAGGCUAGGGGCGCGAACGGGAUUAGAUACCCCGGUAGUCCUAGCUGUAAAGCAUGCGGGCCAGGUGUCUAGUGUUCCUCGAGAGCACUAGGUGCCGGAGGGAAGCCGUUAAGCCCGCCGCCUGGGAAGUACGGCCGCAAGGCUGAAACUUAAAGAAAUUGGCGGGGGAGCACACAAGAGGUGGGACCUGCGGUUCAAUUGGAUUCAACGCCGGAAAACUCACCAGGGGCGACAGUUGUUUGAGGGCCAAGUUGACGACUUUGCCAGACUAGCUGAGAGGUGGUGCAUGGCCGCCGUCAGCUCGUACCGUGAGGCGUCCUCUCAAGUGAGGUAACGAGCGAGAUCCUCGCCCUUAGU
rnacentral:rRNA from 1 species